UGGACUGUAUUAAAAGGCCGUGUUUACAAUAUAUCACCAUAUAUGAAGUUUCACCCUGGAGUUAUAUAUGCAUUUGGUUGGUGAAAAAUCAGGUGUUGAUAUGUUGAUGAAAACUGUGGGAAAAGAUUGCACAUCUCUAUUCAGUAUCCUUUUUGUUAUUCCCCUACUGUAUGAUUUAAGUUUGUGAGCCUACUUCAUUUGUCUGUUUCUAUUUUCUAAUGUUACCAUAAUUGGAAUUAUAGCUUUUAGUUUCUUCACUCUCUUUGAAAAGAUCUCUGCAUGCAUUGCAUUUGGUGUGGUAGUUAAGCUUGAUAAAUGCUUCUUACAUGUUUUCUCAUGUCUUAGCAUGCGCUUGGAUUUGCGGUGAGAAUGGCAAAAUCAUGGUGAGCCACCACGAUGUAGGCAGAAGCUACACUUCAACAAAAUCCAAACUCACUGCUCAUCCAAAUGUACACAGUUAUUUUUCACCUGAGGAAUUGGAAUUAUGACCCAAAUAUAUAUUAUUUAGAAAUUGGAGUUGAACUUUCAGUUGUUUCUUAAGUUUAUAUUCUUGAAUAAUUUCUUGCAGCCUUUC